rnacentral:rRNA from 1 species
ACGAACGCUGGCGGCGUGCCUAAUACAUGCAAGUCGAACGGUCUUUCUAUGGAAGCUUGCUUCCACUGAGAAGAUAGUGGCGAACGGGUGAGUAACACGUGGGUAACCUGCCCAUAAGAGGGGGAUAACAUCCGGAAACGGGUGCUAAUACCGCAUAGUUUUCUUGAUCGCAUGAUUGAGAAAGGAAAGACGGCCUUUGUGCUGUCGCUUAUGGAUGGACCCGCGGCGUAUUAGUUAGUUGGUGAGGUAACGGCUCACCAAGACGAUGAUACGUAGCCGACCUGAGAGGGUGAUCGGCCACAUUGGGACUGAGACACGGCCCAAACUCCUACGGGAGGCAGCAGUAGGGAAUCUUCCGCAAUGGACGAAAGUCUGACGGAGCAACGCCGCGUGAGUGAAGAAAAGGUUUUCGGAUCGUAAAACUCUGUUGUCAGAGAAGAACAAGUUGGAGAGUAACUGCUCCAGCCUUGACGGUAUCUGACCAGAAAGCCACGGCUAACUACGUGCCAGCCGCCGC